rnacentral:rRNA from 1 species
CUACGGGGUGCUGCAGUAGGGAAUUUUGCGCAAUGGGCGAAAUGCCUGACGCAGCGACGUCGCGUGUGGGAUGAAGGGUUUCGGCUCGUAAACCACUGUCAGAUGGGAAGAUGGGAUAACAGUAUAAUAAGCUGUUGUUUUGACUGUACCAUCAGAGGAAGCACCGGCUAACUACGUGCCAGCAGCCGCGGUAAUACGUAGGGUGCAAGCGUUACUCGGAAUCAUUGGGCGUAAAGGGUGUGUAGGCGGAAUGGUAAGUCAGAUGUGAAAGCCUUGGGCUCAACCCAAGAAGUGCAUUUGAUACUGCUGUUCUAGAAUUCAGGAGAGGAAGAUGGAAUUCCCGGUGUAGAGGUGAAAUCCGUAGAUAUCGGGAGGAACACCAGAGGCGAAGGCGGUCUUCUGGACUGAUAUUGACGCUGAGACACGAAAGCGUGGGGAUCAAACAGGAUUAGAUACCCUGGUAGUC